rfam:Helianthus annuus linkage group 3, whole genome shotgun sequence.
GGGUGUAUAGCUUAGUUGGUAGCGCAUCAGGAUAUUAACCUAAUGGUUGCAAGUUCUGGUCAUGCUAUACCCA